rnacentral:rRNA from 1 species
GACGAACGCUGGCGGCGUGCUUAACACAUGCAAGUCGAACGAAGAGCGAUGGAAGCUUGCUUCUAUCAAUCUUAGUGGCGAACGGGUGAGUAACGCGUAAUCAACCUGCCCUUCAGAGGGGGACAACAGUUGGAAACGACUGCUAAUACCGCAUACGAUCUAACCUCGGCAUCGAGGAUAGAUGAAAGGUGGCCUCUACAUGUAAGCUAUCACUGAAGGAGGGGAGUGCGUCUGAUUAGCUAGUUGGAGGGGUAACGGCCCACCAAGGCGAUGAUCAGUAGCCGGUCUGAGAGGAUGAACGGCCACAUUGGGACUGAGACACGGCCCAGACUCCUACGGGAGGCAGCAGUGGGGAAUCUUCCGCAAUGGACGAAAGUCUGACGGAGCAACGCCGCGUGAGUGAUGACGGCCUUCGGGUUGUAAAGCUCUGUUAAUCGGGACGAAAGGCCUUCUUGCGAAUAGUGAGAAGGAUUGACGGUACCGGAAUAGAAAGCCACGGCUAACUACGUG